UACAGAGGGGGCAAGCGUUAUUCGGAAUUAUUGGGCGUAAAGAGCUCGUAGGCGGUUUGUUGCGUCGGCUGUGAAAUCCCGAGGCUCAACCUCGGGUCUGCAGUCGAUACGAGCAAACUAGAGUGUUGCAGGGGAGACUGGAAUUCCUGGUGUAGCGGUGAAAUGCGCAGAUAUCAGGAGGAACACCGGUGGCGAAGGCGGGUCUCUGGGCAACAACUGACGCUGAGGAGCGAAAGCGUGGGGAGCGAACAGG
rnacentral:rRNA from 1 species